AUUUGUUACUAAGGGUUUAUGGUUUUAAUUUUUAUUAAAGCCCCUGUGUAAAAGGGCUACAUGGCAAGAAAAAUGCUUGGGGUCUGUUUUUUUAGAUAAGAAUAAGGCAGUUAAAGGGAAGGAAGGCUAGUGAGGGGAGGGGAGGGAGAUGGCUCUUGUUUAAAAACCUUGGGACUAUAGGAUUGGUUCAGGAAAAUGAAUUCUAUGACAUUGCUGUAGAACAACAUCUGAUUGCGCCUAUCUAAAGGCGGGGAUAACAAUCCUGAGAGGCUCUGAACCUGGGAAGUUGCCUCUUUCAGCAGACUCACUUGGAAGGGUGCUCAGAAGAGUCAGAAUCAGAUAGAUGUAUACCAUUAAUGCACAUGAAGUUAUGAGAAUUGUGUUGUAUGGUGGUCACUAAAACAUGCUGUAAGUUGGGGAAUCAGCCAGAUAUUAGCUCCCCGGAGGCAACAGCAAAGAAAGUAACCAACGCCCAGGCGCGGUAUCAAACAACCCGUCAGCAGCCAUUAUCCAGCAAGGGAGCUACACUGCAAUGACUGACCUGCAUGAGGCCUCACCAGGGGAAUUGCUCAACCUUGCUUGGAGAGACUCAGUAAUGCUCACUCAGUAGUGCUCACCUGACUCUGAAAGGGUAGAUCCCAGCUUUAUGGGCUGGACAAGGGCUGGAAGAACUAACCAUUGAGUGAGUAACACCUUAUCAGACAGGACAGCACCUUGCUAACAGGUACAGGCUGUAGACUGUGUUUUAUGUUUUUCUUUCACUUGUAAUCUCAUGUUUCCACAUCCUGUUCCUUGCCUUUAUUUUGAAUCUCUCCCUCAGCAUCUGCUAAAUCAAUUUCAGCUUGGUUUUACAAUAAAUAUGUUUAAGAGCCAGGUACUAAGGAGAAGGCUGAACUGAGGGGAAAGCAGCAAGCUGGGAAGCGCAGUUUCCACAGAGGCAGCGGAUCGCUGCACAUUGCGGGUGUGCAGAAGACAGGGGACUGGGCACUGGAGUUUAAUGGAGUCCGAUUGUGUAAGUUGCCGGCCUGCAGGGGGAUAAAGCAGGACUCGCGGAGUGCCAGGAAUGCCAGCAGAGCGAUGUCAGCAAUGGAAGCGCUACUGUUGUAAUUGGGAUGGAAGAUGACCCGCUUCACCGAUGAAAAUGUCUGGGUUGGGGUCUCACUGACAACCCAUUUUUCACCUAUGCCAGGGGCUCUGUUGCCCCAUCAUUCUCCCCAGGCGGCCACACACUGAACACUUCUCUUUGUGGGUGAUAACAACUUGCAGCUCUUGGUCUCUGUGGACGCUUUCCCUAAAACUAGGAACCCCCUAUUCCUGGGUCUGAGGGUGUUUCAAACUGGGAGAUCACUCCUUAGCGCCUCCCCAUGGUGGCUUUUUGCAGGCGCUCAUGGAGGAGCACAGCCAUUCCCACCAUAACACAGUACGGUGACUGGGCCACCUCCCGGUGAAUGUAGGAGACGAAAGAAUCAGAGCCUUAAGCUAGCAAGGGCUCGACCCCACUCUGCCAACAUAACCCUGUCCUACAGAUACAGCCCAUAGUGGUGGCAUGGGGUACAAACUCCACCUCCCCGAGCUGCAGUAGCUACAUCGACAGAGACGACCUUCCGUCCACCUAGCUGCACCAGUCAGGUCGGCCUAGUAGUGAUGCUCAGGUGGGGGUUGAUUUCUCACCACCCUGAGCGAUGUAGAUCUACUGACCUGAAUGGAAAGUGCAGACCCAGCCUCAAUCUCUCCUGCUGAUGGGUAGAAAGGAGAAUGUUAAAUGCCUCUGUCACUCUGGGAUGGUCCCGCAUCCAAGAUCCUUUGCCUGGCCACCUUCCUAUGUACCACAAAGUAGCACCCUGAAACCCCCAUAUUCACCACUAUGAUAUGAUUAUGGUAUGUUUUGUAAAAUGCAUACCUUGUGAGGUAUCAUUUGAAAAGUCUUCAUCUGUUGAACAUUAAUAUCCUGUUGGAUUGUGUGUGCUGUCAAUGUAUGUGAAGUUAUGAAGUUUUGCUCUGUGUGUGUUACUGAAAAAUGUUGGGAGACACCCACAACCAGCCUUUCAGGUACAACAAAGGAGUAGCCAUAAACAGUUAGACAGUGGGUUAAUGGCUCAUCAAAACCCAUCAAGGAAAGAAUCCACUGUCCCAGGAACUGUAUACAAUGGAGACUUCUCAGUGGGACAUGUAUACAGUGGAGACUGCUUGACCAAUAGGGACUGCCUGACCCCCAUGUCACAGCAAAGGAUGUUUCCAGCAAGCUGGAAGAAACUAUAAAAGAGGGGAAGUGACAUCAUCACUUGGCCUCACUCCCCCCACAACUCAACACCUGGAAACACAUCUGGAGGACAAAGACUUUGAACUAGCAGAGGGUGAUCCCAGGCUGGGAAAGAAUCCCAGCCUGUGUAUUGAGGAUCUGUGACCUGUUUGUACCAUCUCUCAGGGGGAGACACUGCUUCGUUCAAAUCCUGUUUAGUUUGUGCAGUCAACGUCACCGGUGUGGUGCUCUGGUCUGUUCAAUGUUGAUAACAGUGGGCUGGAUGUGUGUGUUCCCUCUGUGUGCUGCCCUGGCUCUGCAGAUUGCUGACACAGCAGACCCCAAGAGAACCCCCAAUGACCACAGAUUCCGAUAAGGUAUGAAAACACAGGCUCUACUUUCCCAGAUCAGAUGUCUACAGUUCUGCUAAAACAUAUGUGCUCCCUGACAAUAGACUGGCUUGGUCAGUGGCGGGACUCCCCACUGCCUCCUAGGCCAGACAAAGACAAACCAGGAGAGGUCCAUUUUUAUACACAGGCACAAACAAGUUACACGUCACUCCUGAUGUAUUGAGGUACGGCCCUUCUACGUGUCAAGGUGCUGCCUAUUAUCUUGCACAUAUUGGUUUGAUCAAAACAACUCUAUCCAUCCUAUUAUUCUUUUGACCCUGUCUUUAGGAUGCGUCAGCCUGUUCCUGUUAUCUGUGUGGAAUGUGCCAGGAUUGGAGUGUUCUGGUACCAUCCUAGCACAUGUUUAUACCUUUAGUGCCCAUUAUCUUUUAGGUAUGUGUGUUUUUGCAAUAUCAGCCCUUUCCUUGCCAGCUGCUGUGAGCAGGGCCUACCUCUGGCUCACAGCUUAACUUUGCUUUAUGUUAACAAAGUCUUGACCACUACUUUAGUUCAGGCCUUAGACCUCAUACUGGGCCUCUGAUAUAAGGGUUUAUGUUUCAGGGCCUCAUCUUACCACAUUCCCCCACUUUUUGUCUUUUAAUGGGAAGAAUGUUUACCCAUCAUCUCGGAAAAGCAUAAUGCAUGGACUAAAGAUAACCCAGUGGGCUAAACAUUGCUACGUGGUUUUCUUAUUUUACCAUCCAUACACUCAUGCCCCAUCUGUCCUUUGGUCUGUACAUUCCCUCAUACAACUGAUAGACAGAUUUUAUUAUCCAAUUAUUUUUAGUCCCUUAUGGUGGGCCUGCAAAUGUUAGGCCCGGGACCUCGACUGAGGAACGUAGUUUUAUAAUUGAGUCUUAGAGGCACUCCCAAAUAAUUAAUAUAUAUCAGUAAUAUGGAUAUGGUGUAUAUAUUUGUAGUGUAUAAGUGCAUAUAUAUAUAAUAUGUAUGUGUACAUAUAACCGCACUUGAUAUCCAAGCAUAACAAUUCUUUUCCAAUCUGGUGUUGUAGUUUAGCCCUUGUGGUACUGCAGUUAGCAACCCACUUUUGUUAAGGCAAUAACAGUUACCAUCUGUAUCAUUAGUAGUAGUCGGCUGAGUGUUUUGAAAUACUGGGAUAGGGAUUGUGAUAAUGUGUCCCACAGGGCUAUGUAUAGGAGAAGUAAAACAGAAAUUUGGAGUAGUGACACUACCACUGAGGCCUUUAAAUAUAAAUAUAUUGUAAUUAGUUACUACACAGUUCUGCCCAUCCAUGUUGUAGAUUACCCCUUAGUGCUGGUUGUCACCCUCUGGGAAGCAUCACUGGGCAGGAAACAGAAGUGGCCAGCUUCUCUGUUCCAUUGGUUGAACUGCUCUGUGAUACACCAGUAGUUGACAUAGAUCCAGUUGUUUCUUAUGGAUGCUGUCUUACAGAUAACCUACUGAAUGGACAAUAACCAAUUUAUCAAAUAUUGCUGUGUUGGGAUGUAGUAUUGGUAUCCAGACACUGAACAAGAUUGUUUUGAAUAACAUGUGCCUUAGUUAGGAUGCAGUGUCAGUAAUCCAAUUUGUAGUUACUGGGUAACUUAAUUUCUUUAAAAAGAAAAGGAGGACUUGUGACACCUUACAGACUAACAAAUUUAUUUGAGCAUAAGCUUUUGUGAGCUACAGCUCACUUCAUCGGAUGCAUUUGGUGGAAAAUACA